CCCUUAGAUGUUCUGGGCCGCACGCGCGCUACACUGAUGCAUUCAACGAGUCUAAAACCUGCUCUGAUAGGGGUGGGUAAUCUUUUGAAUGUGCAUCGUGAUUGGGAUAGAUGAUUGCAAUUUUUCAUCUUCAACGAGGAAUGCCUAGUAAACGCAAGUCAUCAGCUUGCAUUGAUUACGUCCCUGCCCUUUGUACACACCGCCCGUCGCUCCUACCGAUUGAAUGAUCCGAUGAAUAUCAUGGAUUGAGGAUGCAAGUAGGUUCGCAUAUCUUCAUCUUCGAGAAGUGAAGUAAAUCUUAUCAUUUAGAGGAAGGAGAAGUCGUAACA
rnacentral:rRNA from 1 species